UGCCCAGCAACUCCUAUCCGUACCUCCUCAUGGUACUGGCCGGAGUACGAGUAAUCUUAGGAUGAUCGGGUAACCAACUCAGGUGGGUAACCAACUUAGGUCGCAUGCUGACAGGGAAGG
rnacentral:ribozyme from 1 species